GUUGACCUCGGAUCAGGUAGGAAUACCCGCUGAACUUAAGCAUAUCAAUAAGCGGAGGAAAAGAAACCAACAGGGAUUGCCCUAGUAACGGCGAGUGAAGCGGCAACAGCUCAAAUUUGAAAUCUGGCCUUCGGGUCCGAGUUGUAAUUUGUAGAGGAUGCUUUUGGCGCGGUGCCUUCCGAGUUCCCUGGAACGGGACGCCUUAGAGGGUGAGAGCCCCGUACGGUUGGACACCAAGCCUCUGUAAAGCUCCUUCGACGAGUCGAGUAGUUUGGGAAUGCUGCUCUAAAUGGGAGGUAAAUUUCUUCUAAAGCUAAAUAUUGGCCAGAGACCGAUAGCGCACAAGUAGAGUGAUCGAAAGAUGAAAAGCACUUUGAAAAGAGGGUUAAAUAGCACGUGAAAUUGUUGAAAGGGAAGCGUUUGCGACCAGACCUUUUCCUGGCGGAUCAUCCGGUGUUCUCACCGGUGCACUUCGCCAGGUUGAGGCCAGCAUCGGUUUCUGCAGGGGGAUAAAAGCUCUGGGAAUGUAGCUCCUUCGGGAGUGUUAUAGCCCUCUGCAUAAUACCCUUGCGGGGACCGAGGACCGCG
rnacentral:rRNA from 1 species